rnacentral:rRNA from 1 species
CAGCAGCCGCGGUAAUACGGAGGAUGCGAGCGUUAUCCGGAUUCAUUGGGUUUAAAGGGUGCGUAGGCGGUUUUUUAAGUCAGUGGUGAAAUCCUGCGGCUCAACCGUAGAACUGCCAUUGAUACUGAGAAACUUGAAUAUAGUUGAGGUAGGCGGAAUGAGUAGUGUAGCGGUGAAAUGCUUAGAUAUUACUCAGAACACCGAUUGCGAAGGCAGCUUGCUAAGCUAUAAUUGACGCUGAUGCACGAAAGCGUGGGGAUCAAACAGGAUUAGAUACCCUGGUAGUCCACGCCGUAAACGAUGUUCACUCGCUGUUUGCGAUAUACAGUAAGCGGCCAAGCGAAAGCAUUAAGUGAACCACCUGGGGAGUACGUCGGCAACGGUGAAACUCAAAGGAAUUGACGG